rnacentral:rRNA from 1 species
AGUUUGAUCCUGGCUCAGGAUGAACGCUAGCUACAGGCUUAACACAUGCAAGUCGAGGGGAAACGAUAUUGGAAGCUUGCUUCCGAUAGGCGUCGACCGGCGCACGGGUGAGUAACGCGUAUCCAACCUGCCCACCACUUGGGGAUAACCUUGCGAAAGUAAGACUAAUACCCAAUGAUAUCUCAAGAAGACAUCUGAAUGAGAUUAAAGAUUUAUCGGUGAUGGAUGGGGAUGCGUCUGAUUAGCUUGUUGGCGGGGUAACGGCCCACCAAGGCGACGAUCAGUAGGGGUUCUGAGAGGAAGGUCCCCCACAUUGGAACUGAGACACGGUCCAAACUCCUACGGGAGGCAGCAGUGAGGAAUAUUGGUCAAUGGGCGAGAGCCUGAACCAGCCAAGUAGCGUGCAGGAUGACGGCCCUAUGGGUUGUAAACUGCUUUUAUAAGGGAAUAAAGUGAGUCUCGUGAGGCUUUUUGCAUGUACCUUAUGAAUAAGGACCGGCUAAUUCCGUGCCAGCAGCCGCGGUAAUACGGAAGGUCCGGGCGUUAUCCGGAUUUAUUGGGUUUAAAGGGAGCGUAGGCCGGAGAUUAAGCGUGUUGUGAAAUGUAGAUGCUCAACAUCUGCACUGCAGCGCGAACUGGUUUCCUUGAGUACGCACAAAGUGGGCGGAAUUCGUGGUGUAGCGGUGAAAUGCUUAGAUAUCACGAAGAACUCCGAUUGCGAAGGCAGCUCACUGGAGCGCAACUGACGCUGAAGCUCGAAAGUGCGGGUAUCGAACAGGAUUAGAUACCCUGGUAGUCCGCACGGUAAACGAUGGAUGCCCGCUGUUGGUCUGAAUAGGUCAGCGGCCAAGCGAAAGCAUUAAGCAUCCCACCUGGGGAGUACGCCGGCAACGGUGAAACUCAAAGGAAUUGACG